rnacentral:lncRNA from 1 species
CAUGUGCAGCCCUCUGGUUCCUCCAACCUCCUCUUCUUCCAUCACUAUCUUCUCUAUCUCCACUGUGGUUGCUUGCACCAUCAUGAGGUGGACGAUGCCUUUUGAUUUCAGUCAUAAGAUUCUUAAGAUCUUGUGUCAACCUCUCUUGCUUUUCUUCCAUGCUUUGUCAGAGUUUAUUGAAUUGUGCUAUGGUAACAUGAUCUUUGAUGUCCACUCGACCCAUCUUCCUGUAAGGUUAGCUGAAUACAAAUAAUUUGUAUUUGUGGAAUAUGAAAAUUUGGUGGCUCUCACAACUCACCUCUCUAACCACCGAAACUCUUAUGAAUUCCUCUGCUGCAGAUUACAAGGAAAACAAAUGUGUGGUGGCAAAUGAAAGUGAUGGCGAGGUGAAUACAAGAACAGAGAGUACCGAUUACGAUGGUUUUUAUGUGGAGCUUGGUGGGGAAAAAUUACACAAGGAAUGCAAUCUAAAUUCUAGUUGUUGUAAAGUUAAGUAACAAUCCAAACUAGAAGUUCUCUGCCUAGUGCUGACCACAAGAUAUGAAAAGAAGUAAAUGAUCACGCACACGCACAAAGAAAAUUCAGAUUUGAUGCAAACAAAGAGUAUGAUUGGGAUGCAAGUGUUGCAAUCAGACCCAACCAAAAUAUUGCACCAAACAAAGAUAGCAAACUGGUUGCAGAACUUGAUAUGAAACUUUCAGCACUUGUGCACAUAAACCAACUAAUCUUUCAGACUUUCUCUCUGAACCUUUCUCAACUUUUUUCACUUCACUUUUUUUUGCACUUUCUUUUCUAUUUUUUUUGACACACUUUUUUUUAUAUAGAACUAAACACAGGGAUCAGAUUAUGACACUUGCACAACUAAAGACAGAAAUAAAACAACAACCAGUAGCUAGAUAGGAUCAAAGUUAACACAAAGGAUGAUAUAGGCUAUAGAGAUUUUUUUGUGGGGAUUUUUUAGAUAUAAAAGAGGCACAAAGAACACGCGAAGGAUAAAUGAUCAGCAACUAAAACAAAGACUCUAAUGGACUGUGACUUAACCGAACUCACUAAAAUAACAGAUUGAAACAAAAGCCUAAGCAAUAUAUUUUUCUGGAUUUUUGGUGGAUAGCAUGAAGCAAAAAUAUAUAUGUAGCUAGGGAUAGAAUUCCUACCGUGGUAACGAAAGCUUUGAUACUAGAUGAUGUGACAUGUUGUCCUGAUCUUCACGACGUAGCAUGAACACUGAUAACUAGUUGAAGAACAGCCAGAUAACUUGCUGCAAGCAGCGAUAACUAGUGCAACCUGACAAAUAAAACUCGAAGCCAACCACCGUCUUUAACCGGCAACCUGAAUCGAGGAUUCACCCAACCACACUCUCAAAGAACCAACCAACACAACCUACAAUCAAUCAAGGGAUACCUUGAAGGGAGUAGGAGCACCAACUGGGAGCAGAUGAAGCCGCCGCCUAUGUAAUCCCGCGAGGAAAUCACAAGAGCAAAGGGGUAGAGAUCACUCUUUGAAUAUUUGUUAGCACACAGCUAAACAAAAGGGGUUAUGUAUUUCAAUUAUCAAAAGUCUUAGAUUACAAUGAGUCUU